rnacentral:rRNA from 1 species
AUACGUAGGGGGCGAGCGUUGUCCGGAAUAAUUGGGCGUAAAGGGCGCGUAGGCGGCCCGGUAAGUCUGGAGUGAAAGUCCUGUUUUUAAGAUGGGAAUUGCUUUGGAUACUGUCGGGCUUGAGUGCAGGAGAGGUAAGUGGAAUUCCCAGUGUAGCGGUGAAAUGCGUAGAGAUUGGGAGGAACACCAGUGGCGAAGGCGACUUACUGGACUGUAACUGACGCUGAGGCGCGAAAGUGUGGGGAGCAAACAGGAUUAGAUACCCUGGUAGUCCACACUGUAAACGAUGAAUGCUAGGUGUAGGGGGUAUCGACCCCUUCUGUGCCGCAGUCAACACAAUAAGCAUUCCGCCUCGGGAGUACGGCCGCAAGGUUGAAACUUAAAGGAAUUGACGGGG